rnacentral:rRNA from 2 species
AUUCCUGGAAUGGUUUAUGUUCCAAAUGAUUUAUCGCCGUAGGAUGGGACUGCGGCCUAUCAGUUUGUUGGUGAGGUAAUGGCCCACCAAGACUAUUACAGGUACGGGCUCUGAGAGGAGUGGCCCGGAGAUGGGUACUGAGACACGGACCCAGGCCCUAUGGGGCGCAGCAGGCGAGAAAACUUUGCAAUGUGCGAAAGCACGACAAGGUUAAUCCGAGUGGUUUCUGCUAAAGGAACCUUUUGUCAGUCGUAGAAUCACUGAUGAAUAAGGGGUGGGCAAGUUCUGGUGUCAGCCGCCGCGGUAAAACCAGCACCUCAAGUGGUCAGGAUGAUUAUUGGGCCUAAAGCAUCCGUAGCCGGCUCUGUAAGUUUUCGGUUAAAUCUGUACGCUCAACGUACAGGCUGCCGGGAAUACUGCAGAGCUAGGGAGUGGGAGAGGUAGACGGUACUCGGUAGGAAGGGGUAAAAUCCUUUGAUCUAUUGAUGACCACCUGUGGCGAAGGCGGUCUACCAGAACACGUCCGACGGUGAGGGAUGAAAGCUGGGGGAGCAAACCGGAUUAGAUACC